rnacentral:lncRNA from 1 species
AACAUUGUAACGAAAGGGAAUUGCUUUUUCGGAAGAGUACGGUACCAGAUCGACAGGCUUAAUGAUAAGAACAGGAGAAGCCUUCUGCUUCCUACCAUCAUACUUGAUGAUAACAGGCUCGGGCAUCCGGAAUACUGGGGAAAUUACGUUGACCUUAGGCUCAUCUUCAUCAACAUUCCUAUUCUGAAGAAUCUCAAUGACUCCUUCAUCCAGCAUUUCCUGAAUAUCCUUGCGCACAUG